rnacentral:rRNA from 1 species
GACGAACGCUGGCGGCGUGCUUAACACAUGCAAGUCGAACGAGGCCCACCUUUCGGGGUGGUGUCCUAGCGGCGAACGGGUGAGUAACACGUGGGCAACCUGCCCCCGGCUCUGGGAUAACCCCAAGAAAUUGGGGCUAAUACCGGAUAUGACCGCUGACCGCAUGGUCUGGUGGUGGAAAGAUUUAUCGGCUGGGGAUGGGCCCGCGGCCUAUCAGCUUGUUGGUGGGGGAGUGGCCUACCAAGGCGACGACGGGUAGCCGGCCUGAGAGGGUGACCGGCCACACUGGGACUGAGACACGGCCCAGACUCCUACGGGAGGCAGCAGUGGGGAAUAUUGCGCAAUGGGCGGAAGCCUGACGCAGCGACGCCGCGUGGGGGAUGACGGCCUUCGGGUUGUAAACCUCUUUCAGCAGGGACGAAGCCGUGAGGUGACGGUACCUGCAGAAGAAGCACCGGCCAACUACGUGCCAGCCGCCGCCGUAAAAC